UACGUAGGGAGCUAGCGUUUAUCGGAAUCACUGGGCGUAAAGGGAGCGUAGGCGGAAAGGUAAGUUAGGAGUGAAAUCUGUUGGCUUAACUGGCAGCUUGCUUCUAAAACUGCUUUUCUUGAGUAUGGGAGAGGGUGAUGGAAUUCCAGGUGUAGCGGUGGAAUGCGUAGAUAUCUGGAAGAACACCAGUUGCGAAGGCGGUCACCUGGCCCAAUUCUGACGCUGAGGCUCGAAAGCUAGGGGAGCAAACAGG
rnacentral:rRNA from 1 species